UACGUAGGGGGCAAGCGUUGUCCGGAAUCAUUGGGCGUAAAGCGCGUGUAGGCGGCCCGGUAAGUCCGCUGUGAAGGUCGGGGGCUCAACCCUCGAAUGCCGGUGGAUACUGUCGGGCUAGAGUGCGGGAGAGGCGAGUGGAAUUCCUGGUGUAGCGGUGAAAUGCGCAGAUAUCAGGAGGAACACCAAUUGCGAAGGCAGCUCGCUGGAACGUAACUGACGCUGAGACGCGAAAGCGUGGGGAGCAAACAGG
rnacentral:rRNA from 1 species